UUAAUUGAAACCAAAAAGAGGUAUAUUAUUGUUAAUAAUAAAAUUGAAAAAUUUCUUCCAAUUAAA
rnacentral:tRNA from 1 species